UCAAAUUUUCUAUUGAGGCAUUACCUGGUUAAUGUGAACAUAUAAACUGUGGCUUCUGGCAUCUCGUGGGACUGAAUACUGCUCCUUAAUACAGUUUCCUUGGGAUGUAGGUGAACUGAUGAUGACAAUGAGAUGUGGGGCUGAAAAACACACAAGCCGGGCACUGAGGAGGGCUGCUUUUCAUUAACACCCUGCCAAAACCAUCAGAGUCCUACAGGGGGCCAAUCAGCAAUGGCAAUGGGCUGACCUGCUCAAGCACACUUCACCCGAAUCAGUGACUGCUACGGGGCCCUUACAACCGGAGGCAGGAGGCUUUUCCGAAUGCUUUGUUUCC
rnacentral:lncRNA from 1 species